GCUAACAGAUACAUAAAUACUUUUUGCCUAAUUUAUAUCAAAGGAUCAGACAAUUAUCAUUUCUGAAUUGCUAGCAUUAUGCAAGCUCCAGUAGUUCAUCAUUGGGUCCACCAUGCAUAUGCUAUACAGGGAGAGAAAUAAAUAUAGGACCUGAUCCUUUUGUUUUUCUCGUGAUCCACCGAAACCAAGGAACACCUCGGCAGAACUCCUCCUGUCCUCGCGGCGGCCGGGCGGCGACGGGGUGCUCGGCUCCUCUCCUUGGCGACGAGAGGACCGGCGGGCGGAGCGCUAGCGGAUUCCUCCUCCUCCUCUGGAUCCCUCCACGGAUGGCGGCGGCGGCACGCGGGGCUGGGCCGCGGGUGGGAGGCAGGUGUCGUAGUCGCGGGCGGAGCUCGUCUCCUCCUCUGGAUUUGGCUGCGGACGGCAACGCCGAAGCGCGCUAGAGCACGGCGGCCGGCUGCGGGGACUCGGGAUCAAGCUGCGGACAGGAGGCGCGGGUGCAGUCACGGGCGGAGCUCCUCCACUUCUCCUCUUCUACUGCUCCGAUCGCACAACGGUGGCACAGGCAGCGGCGCGCGUGGCAGUGGACGCGGGCGGAGCCGAGCGCGACGAGGCUUCUUCUCCUCCGAAUCCGGCACGGCAAUGGCACGACAAGUGCCUCGUCUCCUCCGGGUCCGGCAAGGUCGGCGACGGGAAUGCAAGCGGUAGCGCGAUGGGGCUCCUCUCCUCUUUGGUCGUGGCCGUUCCCUUUCCUCCACGGGAGCCGCCGUAAAUUGGAAACCCACUCGGGAAAGGGUAAGAAAGCACAAUGCUCGCGGCACUUAUUUAUUUUUAUUUAUUUUUUAUUUAUUAUUUAUUUAUUUAUUUAUUUAUUUUUGGUGAAAACGGCAAUUCAUAUAACUCUAAGUUGAGUACAUCCAGCCAAAUCAAAAGAAAGUAAAGAGAACAACGUAGAGGGAGUAUCCCCUAACGAAGUCCAAAUGACCUCUCCGGAGUGAAACCAAAAACCCAUGCGGCCCUGAUGUCAGUUGUUGGGUAAAUCGCAGGAAUUUAGUAAUGAUGAACAAUGCAAAGAAUUGCGAGGGGAAGAAGAAAAAAAAAUUAUAGAGAUUUUACGUGGUUUAGCAAUGUACCGACAUGCAUGAAAGAAAAAUGGCUAUUGUUGUGGUUUAAAUUUGGCCCAAGGGUGACCACACCGGAGGAGUCGAGGGAGCUGCCGGAGUGUGGGAGAAGAGGACGGGGGCCACCUCCUGCACAGGGAUGUACCUGCACAAAGCAUUACUGAUAUUUUCAGUAAGGGCCCUCCGACGAUCAAGUUAGAGAGGAAUUUUGUAGGUCCAGCCCAAAAGUUCUUUCGGCGUUACCUGUUAGGGUUCUUUAUAGAACCGGUAGGAGCGCUUAGGUGGCAGAGAUAUGGCCCGUUCCCAUCAUGAGUGGGGAUGGCGUGCAGUCAAAGCUUGCUGAUGGCGUGCGAUGUAGUCUAUUCUAGGCGACGGUAAGGCAUUGGCAGUCGUGGCAGAGCAUGGCCGAAGUAGCUCGGUGUUGUCCUUGAUUGCCGUGUGUCAGCAAGCAAAGCGUGGCGUGGCGGUGCCGCAAUAUUUGGCCACAUGGGAGGGCGCCGGCCCGCACAUGGGCAUGGCCGUUGGCAAAGUCGAGCUCGUCAAGAGGUCGCAUCAUGCCUUUAACGAGGUCGGCUGAACGAGUGCUGGGUUUGGCCUAGCAUCCCGGGUUCCAAGGUGUGUUCGACGGAGCGCCCCGAGCUUAAGGGUCGGGGCGUGUUAUUGGAGAUGGUGCCCCGAGCUUGGUCGGGCGAGUCGGCAAAUAUAGGAGGCGCCCCGAGCUUGGUUGGGCGAGUUGGCGAAUAUAGGAGGUCGAAGGAGUUUUCGGUGGAGUCCGAGGUCGGGCUGAUUCUGGGCCGGACCGAGGACACGUCUAGUUGGCAUUGAUGUCUAUUAGGCCGAAAUUGGGCGGCCCCUCUUGUUGUGGGCUAAACGAUCCAUUUUGCCCCCCAUCAUUUGCCCCCCGACUUCUGAGGUCGAGUCGCCCUUUAGCUCGGGCGAAGGAAGUAGCUAGAUUAUUGAUCGUCCGGUGCUUUAGCCAAGUGCCCCUGAAGAUGUGCGCAUGCCGAGUAGGGGACAACUGGUAUGUUUUAUAGCUGGGGCUUUGGGUCAGGCUUCCAGAGGCAAGCUUAGGUGGUUUGAGCUGCUACAUGGAGGAGUCUGCCCACGAAGCUGUCAGGAGAUUCUGCCAGUCGUCGGAGUACCUUGACAAACUGGUGAAGGGGCUACGGUUGAAAUGAUCCGGGGCUUCGACAAUUGCCGUAGCUAAGUGCAGCGAUUCUGCCCUGGAGUCGACCUUAGUGGUCUUGAGCCGAAUCUGGACGAAGCUGCUGAAGUGGUCGGGGGUGCCGCAGAGAUCAUUACCGAAGUCAGGUUAGGGAUCGUCCCCGAAGUCGUCGCUGGGACGGAACCAGGAGCCAUUUCCUAGGUUGGCGUCGAAGAUAAAGCUGCCCUCGAGGUUAGUGUAGAGGCUGCUCCUGAGGCCGCCCCUGACGUCGACUUAGAGAUCAUCCAGGUCGACUAGCUUUUGCUUUUAUUUCUGUAAAGUCGGCCACUUGGGCCUUUUGUACUCAUCCCGACCUCAAGGUCGGGUUUCCUUGUAUUUGGCCCUCGACCCCUCUUCUCUCUUUUUUUUUUUGGUGCUCUUCAACGACUCCCCGUUGACGCCGCAGGGCGCCCCCCACUCAGAUCCGGGGCGCACUUAUAGAAUAUUGCGGUCGGGGGUGCUCUUUAAUGGCUCCCCGUUGAUGCCGCAAGGCAUCCCCCACUCAGAUCAGGAGCGCACUUAUAGAAUACUGCGGUUGGGGGUGCUCUUUAACGGCUCUCCAUUGACGCUGCAGGGCGCCCCCCACUCAGAUCAGGGGCGUAUUUAUAGAAUACUACAGUCGGGGGUGCUCUUCAACGGCUCCCCGUUGAUGCCACAGAGUGCCCCACACUCAAAUUAGGGGCACACUUAUAGAAUACUGUGGUCAAGGGUGCUCUUCAACGGCUCUCCGUUGAUGCCACAGGGCGCCCCCCACUCAGAUCAGGGGAGCACUUAUAGAAUACUGCGGUCGGGGGUGCUCCUCAACAGCUCUCCGUUGAUGCCGCAGGGCAUCCCGAGCUGAGCUCGAGGGACGACUUUGUGGAUGGAUCCUGCAAUCGCGGGGCCCUCGGGCUCUUGACUGAUGUUGCAGGGCGUCCCGAGCCGAGCUCGAGGGAUGACUUUGUAGAUGAAUCCUGCAAUCAUGAGGCCCUCGGGCUCUCGACUGAUGUUGCAGGGCGUCCCGAGCUGAGCUCGAGGGACGACUUUGUAGAUGAAUUCUGCAAUCGCGAGGCCCUCGGGCUCUCGACUAAUGUUGCAGGGUGUCUCGAGCCGAGCUCGAGGGACAACUCUAUAGAUUUGUCAACAUAUAAGUCAUGCUGCGGGAGCAGCCGAAGCACAUCGAGCCCAUUGGGGGGGGUUUUAGAGACGCCUUGAGGAAAUCCCAAAGGAUAAUUUUAUUAAUUGAUACAUUCUUGAAUUUGAAAAUCCUGACCUGGAGGGGCUAAGAUCCCAUCCGGGGGUUGCAGCUUACAUCGUGGGUCGCCAAACCCGGACUGGUGGGGGUGCGGCCUCGUCCCUGCCCCACAAAGUCAUGAAAUCGCUGGCGUACGGAACGCGCAAGGGCAGUAUUAAGGGUGCCCGCACUGGGGCGAUUGUCGUUGGGCCUGUCGAGCGGCUUCGGACUCUGGCCGUCGAGCUCCGUUUUGUCGGUUUGUGUACGGACAAACCGACUCAGCAGGCCUUGGCGGACAACUGCUUCAAUCUUGUCACGGAGCUGGUAACAGUCCUCCGUGUCAUGACUGUGAUCUCUAUGGAAGCGGCAAUAUUUAUCCGAGCACUUUCGUGACCCCGACGGUCACAUCUUCGGUUGGGGUCGGAGGUAACCGCGACCCUCGAUUUCUGUAAGGAUCUCCGUCCGGGAGGACGUGAGGGGAGUGUACUCUCCGAAACUUUGGAGGGGGGCAUGUUUACCAGUCCUUCAGGGGGACCUGCUCCUCGAUCGACGACGCCCCUCACGACACUCCGCAACUUGACUCUGGAGCAUCUGGAUUUGUCGCCCUACUUCCUCGACUUUUCUGUCGAGCUCGGCGAUUGAUGAGGCUCCCGCUGGCUGAAGGCUUUGAACAGCUGCGGUAAGAGCUUGGACUUGCUGGGCAAGCAGGUAAAACUGCUUCGGCUGGACCUGAGAAAUCUGGUCCGCAGGUGCGGGUGCUGCAAGGGGUGGACUUCGAAAGGUUGGAGCUCGUGACUCCUUAGCCUCAUGAUGACAACCCAGGCCCUUCCUCUAGCGCCAAAAAUGUUGUGGUUCAAAUCUGGCCCGAGGGUGACCACACCGGAGGAGUCGAGGGAGCUGCUGGAGUGUGAGAGAAGAGGACUGGGGCCACCUCCUGUGCGGGGAUGUACCAGCACAAAGCCUCACCGGUGUUCUCAGGGAGGGCCCUCCGACGAUCAAGUUAGAGUGGGAUUUUGUAGGUCCAGCCCAAAGUCCCUUAGGCAUUACCUGUUGGGGUUCUUUAUAGAACCGAUAGGAGCGCUUAGGUGGCGGAGAUAUGACCCGUUCCCAUCAUGAGUGGGGAUGGCGUGCAGUCAAAGCUUGCUGAUGGCGUGCGAUGUAGUCUGUUCUAGACGACGGUAAGGCAUUAGCAGUCGUGGCAGGGCAUGGCCGGAGUAGCUCGGUGUUAUCCUUGACAGCCAAGUGCCAGCAAGCAAAGCAUGGCGUGGCGGUGCCACAAUAUUUGGCCACAUGGGAGGGCGCCGGCCCGCACAUGGGCAUGGUUGUUGGCAAAGUCGAGCUCGUCGAGAGAUCGCAUCAUGCCUUUAACGAGGUCAGCUGGACGAGUGCUGGGGUUGGCCUAGCAUCCCCGGUUCCGAGGUGUGUUUGACAGAGCGCCCCGAGCUUAAGGGUCGGGGCGUGUUAUUGGAGAUGGCGCCCUCUAAGUUCAGCAUUCCCUCUAAGUUCAUCUACUUUUUGCACGACCUUUUUGGCAUUGAAGGUAAACAAAUCGUAUGUUUAUCAAAUAUGAGCCACUUCGUUUAACGAUCACGGACUUCAACACUCCCUCUAAGUUCAUCCACUUUUUGCCCGGCCUUUCUGGCAUCGAAGGCAAACAAAUCGUUACGUACCUAGUUCCUCAAACGAAGAAAAUACGCGUAUGCAACUUUCACUGCUUGCCAUCGAUGUCAUUACAUGAGCAUUGCUUUAUUCAGAAAUCGUAAUAAAGACUAGCAGAGAGCUGGAAGAAAGAAUACAUAAUAUGAUUACGGCGGAUUGCUAGGACGGCUACUAGCUAGCACCGAUAAAGGUGCGUUUUGAAGACUCGGGAAGGCGGCUACUAGCUAGGGCAGCGAUAAUAGUUCCUUCCGCAGACUCAGGAAGGCCGCUUGUUAGACGCGCUUGGCAAGCAAUUGCUGUAGGACUGGCCGUUUACCGGCUUACAGAUCUGCUGGUCCGGGUUCAAAGCUCUUGGCGUGAUCGGGGGGUCUUGUUCUAAAAACAGCCGGCGGUUUGUCUCCGAGUCCGGCAAGAACUCCUCCUCCAGAAACCCCCUCUCGAUCUCAGAAACAAAUUGAAACUCUAUCUCCUCCCCUGCUUCGCAAUGGAUAUCAGUUCCGUUGCAUGCGGAGCCUCGGUAAACAGCAGCAGGGGCAGCCACAGCGGAGUGUGCUGAAAGCACAGCAUUGCUGAAAAGAAAUGCACCAAAGAGAAGAGUGAGAUCUCUCAAUCUCUUCAUCUCCAUCUGCUUUUCCACUCCUCUCCUUGUUCACCUUACCGUUGCUUUAAAAGGAUGCCUUUGAUGUAGAUGGCAGGCCCACCUUAACGCUUCCAUCUGCUCUUUCAUGUAGAUGGCAGGCCCACCUUCACGUGUCCAUCUGCUUUUCCGCUCCUCUCCUUGUUCACCUGGGAUGAUCGAAGAGAAUAAGUUUAACACGCCCAGCCAUCUAGGUUGUUCGAUCAAUUUAUAGUGGAGGAUAGAAAAUAUGGAGGGCAGAGGAGGUAAGUAAGAAAGGACAAUACUCUAACAGAGUGAGAGAUAACUUUUUUCUGCUCUCCAAAAACUACGCUAGCUUAAACAUCGGAGGUCUCCAUUGUAUACGUUCUAAACAAGAACUUCUUUGCUCUAUGCUGUUUAGAUCGGAUUGCUAUCAUCCGACGAGGACCUCAACUGCAGCAACUGAGUGCUGGUUGCCUUCCCCAACUUCUACCAGAGCAGCCGACCACCAACCUCUCGAGCAUCAUCAUGCUUCUCGCCAUGGUGUUUAGGACCAAUCAGUUCUCAGCGGCCAUUUACUUAGCUAACCAGCAUUUACUUGAUGUUUCUUAAAUGAAAUAAUACUAGUCAUUGCUUCCAAUUUAUGUUAUCGUUUUUGAGAUUAGAUAUUCAAAUUUGAAUAUUUACAAAAAAUAUUACUCAAUUCUUUUAUUUAUACAUAGUGAAAUUGUUGUACAACUAUCAAGCAUUUGUCUACUUAUACAAUGCUUGUUAUGAUAGAAUGGGCGGCGAUUUGAG
rnacentral:lncRNA from 1 species